GACGAACGCUGGCGGCGUGCUUAACACAUGCCAGUCGAACGAUGAAGAAAAGAAUUGAAGCUUCGGCAGAAAUUCAUUUCGGAUUAGUGGCAGACGGGUGAGUAACGCGUGAGCAACCUACCUCUUACAGAGGGAUAGCCUCGGGAAACCGGGAUUAAUACCAUAUAACAUUGCGACGAAGCAUUUCGAUGCAAUCAAAGCUACGGCGGUAAGAGAUGGGCUCGCGUCCCAUUAACCAGAUGGUGAGGUAACGGCUCACCAUAGUAACGAUGGGUAACCGGCCUGAGAGGGUGAACGGUCACACUGGAACUGAGACACGGUCCAGACUCCUACGGGAGGCAGCAGUGGGGAAUAUUGCACAAUGGAGGGAACUCUGAUGCAGCGACGCCGCGUGAGUGAUGAAGGAAUUCGUUUCGUAAAACUCUGUUCUAUGGGAAGAAAAGGACUGUACCAUAGGAGAAAGCUCCGGCUAAAUACGUG
rnacentral:rRNA from 1 species